UGUCAGGCCAACUCAGACUGACUGCUCUUAGGUCAGGCUUCUAUACCUGGACCAACUAGUUACCUGUGGUCCAGGAGGUAUUCCAGUGAAUAUUUGCUGAAUUUUAAUUUAGAUUGAAUGCAAUUCAGAAGACUGAGGCUUUCCAAAUUUCAAACCUCCUGAGAAAGUUCUUAAUAGGAAUGCUGGGUCACCAUGAAGCACAAUGUGACAUUGACCACAGAAGUGCCUACUUGAUCAACAAAACUACCCAGGUCCUUCAGUUAAAUACCUAGGAAGGAAAUAUUUCCUGGGUGCCAACUACGGGCAAGUGUUUAUGUUACAUAUAGGAGAAGAAUACAAAGAAGAAGAAGAGGAAGGAGGAGGAGAGGAGAGGAAGGAGGAUGAGGA